rnacentral:lncRNA from 1 species
GCCUGCUUCCGACGAGCAACCCACUCCCGUGGUCCAGCCUGCUUCUUUCGAGCAGCCCACUCUCACGGCCCAGCCUGCUCCCGUGGCUUUCCAAGCAGCCCAAGUCGGCCCAAGAUUAUCUCAACCAUCCGGACCUACCAUCGAGCCGGGGGCAUUCUCACCACAUUUUUUCGCGGAUUUGACAUUUCCUAACUCAAAUCUCGCGCUCGGAGUCUACCACCUUUCCACUGCCCAAGGAGGCGCAUUCCUUCCAAGCUCUUCCAAUCCAAAUGGCGAACAACACUUGUCUC